CUGUAUAACCCUUCACAGCAAAGUUGGCAGGGAAGCUCUGAAGGUGACUACAUCAGUUUUGAAGUCCUCCAAAGAACUUUUUGAGGGUUGCAACUAAUUCUUCAUCUGGAAAAAUGUGGCUGUGGCCUGUGGUGAUCAUUAUCAUCAUUUCACUUUCAAGGAGAAGCACAGGACAGUCGGUGAAGCAAGCAUCUGGCAUUGUGACUGUUACUGAAGGAAAACAUCUCUCUCUCAGUUGUUCCUAUGAAGUUACUAGCUCAGCUUACCGAGAUACAUACUGGUACAUUCAGCACCCUGAUCAGCCUCUGAAGCUCUUGUUGAGCCAGUAUAAAAAGGAUACCCAAAGAUUCCAUGCUACUCACCUUAAAGGAGAGAAAAAUGGGACGUACAAUUUAGAGAAAGAUGCCAGUCAGCUGAAGGACUCUGCUGUCUACUUCUGUGCCUUCAUCGAGACACAAUGAGAUAAAGCAGAAGGG